rnacentral:lncRNA from 1 species
GACUUAACUCUGAAGGGCCAUGUUUUUAAUUAAGAACUGGCCCACGUACUGACAGCCUCCCAAUUGGACUGUACAGGAAAAAGUGAUGUGCUGAUGUGCAUGUCCGUAUGGGUGCUCAGGCUUCUGGGGAGAGGUUAUGCCAUGGUUUUUAUUGUGGUCUGAGCCUUAUACACAGACUCACAGGUAGGGGGACUGGCAGAAAUAGGUUUUGCCCUUUCAGAGCCUGUAUCCCCAAAGGCCAGGAUGGGAAUAAGAAGUCACACAAGAAUAUUGUCACUGUCUCUCAGCUUGCAUCAGAGGAAACUGAAACCCGUUAAAACUCCAAGGCUCUUCUUGACUUCUACUCUCAGGCCUUCUGAUUGUGACACCAAGAUGCACGUGCAAAGAGAAGUCGUCAGACACUCUCCGGGACACAACUGUUUCUGCUUUGAGUAACGAUUUCUAGCCUGCUGCCAGGAAGCCCUGCCACACCCUGCGUUUGGCUAGAGUUGGAUGCUGAGGCAAACCUCCAAAACCAGGCCCCUUCUUAUGUCUGAGGAACUGCCUUGCCUUCCAGAGAGACAACUGGGGCUCUCUAGGGCAACAGGACCUGGAAUGUCCCCAAGGGAAACAUGCUGGCCUGCAGCCUUGGCAGUGUCUCAGAACUGAGGACAGUAGGAGAUUCCCCCACGAUGGGCUGCAGAAUAUAUUCUGAAAUCUAGGCUGUGAAAAGGGACCAUAGGGGUGGGGAGGGAAAUCUAUUUUUGUGAAAGAGGAAAGAUUUUGCUAUUUUUUGGUAAAAUAAAAGAUACAAACUAAAGCAA